AUUCAGCUAUGAGAUUGAAGGUAUACAUGGUUCACCUCAAGACAGUUAAGAGAGAAAAUUGAACGUAACACCAUUCUGACAGUCUUCAUACUCUUAUUCAUGAUUGUUUUUCAUGUAUGAGUUUGAAGGUUGGAUUAUGAUGGUCUACAUGCGGGAAGACAUCCAAAAUAAACAUGUUUGCAGUAUUAUCCAUUGGAAAAAGCAUAGCAUACAGCUCGUGGAAGGCAAUUCCUUCUCAAAGAGUUCUGCAAACCAUUCUUAAAGGCAAACAAUCAUACUGCAUUCGUGUUUGGGCAAUAUUUGGAUCCAAAGACUCGUGAAAUCCAAGGUAACCUUUGAAACCUGUUCUUACCUCAAGCUUUUGAUAAUAUGGCCAUGAUCUGUCAUUACGUGCAAUUAUCCCCACUUCCCAGGAUAUCUACAUUCUACAAUCCACAAAUAUAGUCCCUCAGUGCAAAUCCACUCACACCCACCUCCAUCCCAGGGCCGGUUUAAACAGAGACAGGAGUGAACCUAUUAACCCUUUGUUUGCAACUUAUAUUUGCCUCUAUGCUAUAUAAUUGAGGGUUGUAAGUGAGAA